UACGAAGGGGGCUAGCGUUGUUCGGAAUUACUGGGCGUAAAGCGCGUGUAGGCGGGGCUUUAAGUCAGGGGGGAAAUGCCAAGGCUCAACCUUGGAACUGCCCUUGAUACUGGAGAUCUUGAGUCCGGGAGAGGUGAGUGGAACUGCGAGUGUAGAGGUGAAAUUCGUAGAUAUUCGCAAGAACACCAGUGGCGAAGGCGGCUCACUGGCCCGGUACUGACGCUGAGGUGCGAAAGCGUGGGGAGCAAACAGG
rnacentral:rRNA from 1 species